rnacentral:rRNA from 1 species
UAGGGAAUCUUCCGCAAUGGACGCAAGUCUGACGGAGCAACGCCGCGUGAGUGAAGAAGGAUUUCGGUUCGUAAAACUCUGUUGUUAGAGAAGAACAGCGCAUAGAGUAACUGUUAUGCGUGUGACGGUAUCUAACCAGAAAGCCACGGCUAACUACGUGCCAGCAGCCGCGGUAAUACGUAGGUGGCAAGCGUUGUCCGGAUUUAUUGGGCGUAAAGCGAGCGCAGGCGGUCAAUUAAGUCUGAUGUGAAAGCCCCCGGCUCAACCGGGGAGGGUCAUUGGAUACUGGUUGACUUGAGUGCAGAAGAGGAGAGUGGAAUUCCAUGUCUAGCGGUGAAAUGCGUAGAUAUAUGGAGGAACACCAGUGGCGAAGGCGACUCUCUGGUCUGUAACUGACGCUGAGGUUCGAAAGCGUGGGUAGCAAACAGG